rnacentral:rRNA from 1 species
CCUAAAUUUCCCAUGGCAAACUGCUUAGUAACACAUGAUCAACUUACCCUAUGGAGAAAUAUAACCUCGGGAAACUGAGGAUAAUGUUUCAUAGUUGAAUAGGCUUGGAAAAGUUUUUCAAUGAAAGGGAUAAGAAAAAUGGUUCUUGUCUGCUAUAGGAUAGGAUCGUGUUCGAUUAUGGUUGUUGGUGAGGUAACGGCUCACCAAGCCGAUAAUCGAUAGGGGCCGUGAGAGCGGGAGCCCCAAGAUGGGUACUGAGACAGCGACCCAGGCCUUACGAGGCGCAGCAGGUACGAAACCUCCGCAAUACACGAAAGUGUGACGGGGUUACCCAAAGUGUUCUUAUUGAACUGUGGCAGGUGAGUAAUGUCCCCUGCUAGAAAGGAGAGGGCAAGGCUGGUGCCAGCCGCCGCGGUAAAACCAGCUCUUCAAGUGGUCGGGAUAAUUAUUGGGCUUAAAGUGUCCGUAGCCGGUUUAGUAAGUUCCUGGUAAAAUCGGGUAGCUUAACUAUCUGUAUGCUAGGAAUACUGCUAUACUAGAGGGCGGGAGAGGUCUGAGGUACUACAGGGGUAGGGGUGAAAUCUUAUAAUCCUUGUAGGACCACCAGUGGCGAAGGCGUCAGACUGGAACGCGCCUGACGGUGAGGGACGAAAGCCAGGGGAGCGAACCGGAUUAGAUACCCGGGUAGUCCUGGCCGUAAACGAUGCAUACUAGGUGAUGGUACGGCCAUGAGCCGUGUCAGUGCCGUAGGGAAACCGUUAAGUGUGCCGCCUGGGAAGUACGGUCGCAAGGCUAAAACUUAAAGGAAUUGGCGGGGGAGCACCACAAGGGGUGAAGCCUGCGGUUCAAUUGGA